GAGCACGUAGGGGGGUUUGUAAGUCAGAUGUGAAAGCCUUCUGUUCAACGGGAGAAUUGCAUCUGAAACUGCUAAUCUUGAGUAUAGGAUGGGAGAAUGGAACUUCUGGUGGAGCGGUGAAAUGCGUAGAUAUCAGAAGGAACGCCGGCGGCGAAAGCGAUUCUCUGGCCUAUUACUGACACUCAGUGUGCGAAAGCUAGGGGAGCAAACGGGAUUAGAUACCCCGUAGCAGCAU
rnacentral:rRNA from 1 species